AUAAAAGUUCAGAAAAUUUGCAGCCUGACAAUGCAAGAGAAAAAUAAAAUCCCAUUAUCUGAGAAGAAAGUCAAGCCAGCUGUAGAAAUUUACGUAAGUAACGAGCAGCCAAAUGUUAAUCCCCAAGACAAUCGAGAAAACCUCUCCAAGGAAUGCCAAAGACCUUGGUGGCAGCACCUCCCAUCAUGGGUCUGGAGGCUUAGGAGGAAAAAAUGAUUUUGUGAGCUGGGCCCAGUGUCCGUCUGCUGUAUGCAGUCUAAAGACUUGGUGCCCUGAAUCCCAGCCACUCCAGCCAUGAUUAAAAGAGGCCAAGGGACACCUCAGGCUGUUGCUUCGGAGGGCAGAGCCACCAAGCCUUGGCAGCUUCCAUGUGGUGUUGAGCCUACAAGUGCACAGAAGUCAAAAAUUGAGGUUUGGGAAAUUCUGCCCAGAUUUCAGAGGAUGUAUG